AGAUACGGAGGUAGAGCACUGAAUGUCCUAGGGGGUAUUGCACCUACCGAAGACUAUCAAACUCCGAAUGCCGUCAUCUUAUACUUGGGAGUCAGACUGUGGGUGAUAAGAUUCAUAGUCGAAAGGGCAACAGCCCAGAUCGUCAGCUAAGGUCCCUAAAUGUAAGUUAAGUGGUAAAGGAUGUGGGAUUGCACAGACAACCAGGAUGUUGGCUUAGAAGCAGCCACUCAUUCAAAGAGUGCGUAAUAGCUCACUGGUCGAGUGAUCCUGCGCCGAAGAUUUCCGGGGCUAAAACUUACUACCGAAGCUACGGCAUCAGUAAUGAUGGGUAGGGGAGCUUCCCAUACGGGUUGAAGCAUGACCGUAAGGACAUGUGGACAGUAUGGGAGUG
rnacentral:rRNA from 1 species